CGGGUGAGUAAUACAUCGGAACGUGCCCAGUAGUGGGGGAGUAACCCGGCGAAAGCCGGACUAAUACCGCAUACGACCUACGGGUGAAAGCAGGGGAUCGCAAGACCUUGCGCUAUCGGAGCGGCCGAUGUCAGAUUAGCUUGUUGGUGGGGUAAAAGCCCACCAAGGCGACGAUCUGUAGCUGGUCUGAGAGGACGACCAGCCACACUGGGACUGAGACACGGCCCAG
rnacentral:rRNA from 1 species